UGAGGAAUAUUGGGCAAUGCCCGCAAGGGUGACCCAGCAACGCCGCGUGGAGGAUGAAUGUCGUAAGAUUGUAAACUCCUGUUAGAGGGGAAGAAUAGUACCGGUUGGACCGGUAUAUGACUGUACCCUCAGAGAAAGCCCCGGCUAACUACGUGCCAGCAGCCGCGGUAAUACGGAGGGUGCGAGCGUUAUCCGGAUUUACUGGGUUUAAAGGGUGCGUAGGUGGGCUUAUAAGUCAGUGGUGAAAUCUCCGAGCUUAACUUGGAAACUGCCGUUGAUACUAUAGGUCUUGAAUUAUCUGGAGGUAAGCGGAAUAUGUCAUGUAGCGGUGAAAUGCUUAGAUAUGACAUAGAACACCAAUUGCGAAGGCAGCUUACUACAUAUAAAUUGACGCUGAGGCACGAAAGCGUGGGGAUCAAACA
rnacentral:rRNA from 1 species